rnacentral:lncRNA from 1 species
UGGCCUGAAGCACUGGAUUGUGUCCUACUUCCUGGGAAAGGGUGCUGAGAUUGAUUAGUAAUGUCUGCAUGGGCUUUGGUGAGUGAGCUCAUGGGGCACAGACACACACUUGCUGUAAUUCACCUAAUCUAACCUUUCAUUUAAACAACAAAGAAAUAAACCUUAGAGAAGGGAACUGACUUACUCAAGGUUAUACAGUGAACUAGGGGCAGAAGUGGGACCAGUGGGUUUUUUCAUUGACAGUCCAGCUGCCAAGACUGCCAAUCAGACUUAAGUAUGUUCUUCCCACCUCAGGAUUUCCACUGUUUACCUCACCGAGGUAACCUAGACCGUUAGAGGCCGUAGGUUCUAACCCCAGCUGUGGCGCUGUGUAGCAUUAAACAAGUUGACUAAUCUUUUUGUGCUAACAGAUAAAUCUGCUUCCCCUAGAUAGCUUCCUUUAUCUCGAAGAAAAUGCACACUUUGUGCGUUAUCAACUAGACCAAGAAAUGUCAGCCAAGAAGGUCAAAAUGAAAGAAACAUGGUGGCUUAGCAUGGCCUUGACAGGCAGCCGGAGUUGGGAUGGGCAUGGGGAAAGAGCAAGGAGUCCAUGGAAAUUCUGCUUGUUAGUGAUGGUGAACUGGAGUGGCCUGGAUAUUUGAAUCAGCACCCUGGGUUUUUCAGCAGAUACCGGGGUUUUUCAGGUAUUUCAGAACUACACAGUCCUCCCAUGUUAUCAUCCUGUUGACUUUCCACAGUGAGUGGAAGGGGUCAUUCUCCCUAUUUUAGAGAAGAGGAAUGGAAGUCCAGAGAGGCUGAGUGACUGGGGAGCAGGUCGGGUGGCGAAUCAUCGGAGAGGCUGUGAUGUGAACUUGGCUUUUUGGGUGCUGAACCCAGCAGUAUUUCUUAUCUCGUGGUGGUGACCUUUGCAGGGUGACUGGUUUAUCCGGCGUUCUGGUGGAUCGGAGGUCAAGGCCAGGGGAGAGGCCUG